AGCCUGCACGCUGGGAUCACCUACCUGGGCAGCUUCACAGAACUGAGGCGCCUGGGACCCUCCUCCCACCCCCGCUCCCAGGGCUGUGAUCCAAGGGGCCUGCAGAGCAUCUCUUUGGAAUUCUUAGCAAGACCCAGGUGAUUUUAAUACAAAGUCGAGUUUGGGAGCCACCAGAUUUGGUCAAUGCUGACCAUGUAACUAUAGCAACCCUCCCACAAUUCAAACAUGUUAGAGAAGCACAAGACCACUUCCAUGUCAGCACACCCAGGGACUCAGCUUGGCCUCAGGUGAGUGUGAUUAAUUUAUCGUCUGUGGAACAGCUUCUGGCAUCAAAUGUUGUCAUGCUCAGAACAGCAAGGAAAGAAAAUCAGAUCAUUCUAAACUUUCAUGGGAGUCAUACUUCUGGUUUGGGGCAGGAUAAGUUCUUUUCAAUUGAGCAAUUCAAUUUCUACUUGUGAGCUCCAGGGUGGGAGAUUUGCUGCCUUCUUUGGUCUGACUGAACCCAAACACCAGCAUGUACUAAAUGCAGAUCACAGAACACAAACCAAGGACGGUGACACAGAAAUCGAAGGGGGUGACUCAAAGGCCCAGGGUACUGAGGUUCCUAUAACGAAAGGCGUCACCUGGGAGCUGGCAACCAAGAGUAUGGGGCCAUCUCUUCCACCGGAGUCCAGCUCAUGACGGACAGCAGAAACUACCCCUGCGUCCCAUGCCUUGGCUCUUAGUUACCAUGACAACAGUACAACAGGCAGUCCUUCUGAGCUUGAUCUUCUAAGCUCAUGCAUGAAUUCUCAGGAACUCAAGGGUUAUAUGUAACAAGGAAAGUGAUUUUAGAUACUUUCACAAUAUAAAAUGUUAAUUGAAGGGGUCAAUGCUGCCAUCCCCCCAGUGAUACAAA